GGCGGCACGCCUAACACAUGCAAGUCGAACGCAGUAGCAAUACUUAGUGGCAGACGGGUGAGUAACAUGUGGGUAUCUGCCCUUUGGCCUGGAAUAACACGAGGAAACUUGUGCUAAUACCGGAUAAGCCCUUACGGGGAAAGUUUUAAUGCCAAAAGAUGAGCCCGCACUUGAUUAGCUAGUUGGUAAGGUAACGGCUUACCAAGGCUACGACGGAUAGGGGAGGUGAGAGCCUGACCCCCACCGAUGGAACUGCGACACGGUCCAUACUCC
rnacentral:rRNA from 1 species